rnacentral:rRNA from 1 species
AGAACGAACGCUGGCGGCAUGCCUAAUACAUGCAAGUCGAACGAACUCUUCGGAGUUAGUGGCGCACGGGUGCGUAACGCGUGGGAAUCUGCCCCUUGGUUCGGAAUAACAGUUGGAAACGACUGCUAAUACCGGAUGAUGACGAAAGUCCAAAGAUUUAUCGCCAAGGGAUGAGCCCGAGUAGGAUUAGCUAGUUGGUGAGGUAAAGGCUCACCAAGGCAACGAUCCUUAGCUGGUCUGAGAGGAUGAUCAGCCACACUGGGACUGAGACACGGCCCAGACUCCUACGGGAGGCAGCAGUAGGGAAUAUUGGACAAUGGGCGAAAGCCUGAUCCAGCAAUGCCGCGUGAGUGAUGAAGGCCUUAGGGUUGUAAAAGCUCUUUUACCCGAGAUGAUAAUGACAGUAUCGGAGAAUAAGCCCCGGCUAACUCCGCGCCAGCAGCCGC